CCUACGGGUGGCAGCAGUGAGGAAUAUUGGUCAAUGGACGAGAGCCUGAACCAGCCAAGUAGCGUGAAGGAUGAAUGCCCUACGGGUUGUAAACUUCUUUUAUAAGGGAAUAAAGUGAGCCACGUGUGCCUUUUUGUAUGUACUUUAUGAAUAAGGAUCGGCUAACUCCGUGCCAGCAGCCGCGGUAAUACGGAGGAUCCGAGCGUUAUCCGGAUUUAUUGGGUUUAAAGGGAGCGUAGACGGGUUGUUAAGUCAGUUGUGAAAGUUUGCGGCUCAACCCUAAAAUUGCAAUUGAUACUGGCAGCCUUGAGUACAGUUGAGGUAGGCGGAAUGCGUGGUGUAGCGGUGAAAUGCUUAGAUAUCACGCAGAACUCCGAUUGCGAAGGCAGCUUACUAAACUGCCACUGACAUUGAGGCUCGAAAGUGUGGGUAUCAAACAGGAUUAGAUACCCUUGUAGUC
rnacentral:rRNA from 1 species